AAGAAGCUGGCGCCGAGAAUACCCGCUGGGUCAUUGACGCGAUGGCCCUCGGGUCCCUCACUGUCCUGUCGGUGUGCGUGCAGCUGUCCCCAGCGGCCCUCCUGAAGGCUGUACUGCCCCUGCAAAUGCUCGCUGAGGCUUCCCGGGGUCCGCAGAAGCCCCUGGGAGUGGGUUUACAGUUGCUGGCUCUUUUGGCUCCUGGAGCUGGUGAUGAGCUGGGAGGCGCCCAGGGACAGCCCUUGGGGGGAGAGCGGGAUGGGAAAAGCUUUCUGCAUUCUUUCCCUCAUGGUUUUCCGGUUCUUUGUUCAUUAUUGCACCUAUGACGGUUUGCUUGGGACGGAAGUCAGUGUAGCGGAGGGACAAGCGCUCAGGGGUUCUUGAGCAGCUGGUCCUGAGUACACAUCCCGGAUCCCCAACUGCGGCCGAUGAGAUCUUUACCUCCAACUGUUUACUCACUUCCUGUUAUCCGAGUUAGAAAUUUGUCGCCCUGUGGCAUGUGCCUCUGCAGUCCCUCCCACUAGAAGGGGCAGAGUACUGGGAUGCGGGAGGAAGUGGCCCGGUGGGUGGUCCCUGCGGAGGCCUCCAGGCUGCCAGACGCUUCUGCUCGUACUUCCUCCAUCUCCACGAGCAGAACUUGUCUUGAGUGGCUGCUCAUCCCGGAAUGAUGCCGGGGGAGCCCCCCUGAACCCAGCCUGCAGCCUCGAGACAAUCUCGGCCGACCCCAAGGACCUUUCCCAGGGACUGAGGCACAGCCCCUACCUCCUGGGGGUGAGGCCCCCCCACCCACUGCCACCACCACCAGCCUGCUUGAAAUGCACACCUCGCUGCGUGACCUUCCUCCGAAGCCUCCAUUCCUUCCUUUGUAAAGAGAAACAGCCUCACAUCUCCUGGUUGUUCCAAGGACCUUGUGAGACCAUCUGUGAAGGUCCCUGCACAGCGGCCAGGGCCUGGCAGAGGCUAAUAUGUUAAUUCUUCUUCCCUGCCCUCUUCCUUCGAUUCUGUAAGACGGAAGCAGUGACUGAGGACCCAAGGGUGUGCAUGUUUCUUCAGGUGAAAAAGGUUAGAAGGCAUGUGGGUGGGUUGCUUUGGAGGUUGGAGACAGCAUGGCGAGACUGGUGGCAGGGGGUGUUGGGCUCUAAAGCAGGGGCCCUGUGCCACCCACCCGGAGGGUGACGGAGGCCAGCCGGACCCCACUGCCCCCCCUUCUCGGAGCGUCGUGUGUCUGUAGCUGGCCUGUAUUUGUCUGCUGGCUUCCAGACGCCUGGUGACAGCAGGGAAGGACAGUGGGGGCCCAAAACCCUUCCUCCAGUGCCAUGGGGACUUUAGGAGGCACCUUGGCACCAGAAUAAUUCCUAUAUGGACCCACCACCCCAACUGCAAAAUAUAAACACACCAGCAAAGCCUGUGUGUAGAGGUUUAUGUGUGAGCCUGGCUUAUUGGAGACCGCAUCUCUCAACAGGGUCGCUCAGCAGUAAAAUGUGAAUCUGAGUCACCAAGAGCCCAUAUUAACACCCAUAGGUGUCUAAGAGCCAGGUCUUGAAAUCACCUUGGUACACAACAAGGACAGAAGUUGCCCCUUCUUUGACGUUAUUUUGUCAUUAGUGUUAGAGAGACGGAGAUAGGGACAGAGAAAAGGAAAGAGGCUGACGGACGGGGUGGGGAGAGAGAGGGAAAGAGGCAGAGACACAGCACCAAGGAAAGACUUGGCGUAAUGAAGUAAUUUAAAGUCCAAUUUUUGUCUCUUUAGAGGUUCUUAUUUUUCAAGCUGCCACAGGGCUGUCGGUGGAUGUCAGUGCUCACAUGCAAGCGCGGUGCUCCAUAAUCCAGCAGCGCCUGUGCCCGUGACAGCCCGAGUACGGUGACACGGCACCCACUUGUUCUUCUGACUGGGUGCCUGCCACACAUCAUCCAUCAGCCCCGGUUGCAGGGAGCAGUGUUUAAGCCCUGCACUCCCUGCACACGCCAUCUCUCCUACCUGCUGGAAAAGCCCUCGUAGAUGGGAUGCGGUGGGCUGGGGACAAAGGGAAUAGGCGGCCCUGGGCACGUGCUCAUUAGAUGGAUAUUGUCCCUCCCCAGACAGGGGCUCUCUGCACGAGUGCCCCGCAAGGGGGUGUGUCGCCAGGAGGCGACUGGGGAGACUUUUCAGUGUGCGCUCUGGCAAGCCCUCCUGAAGAUUGUCCCAUGCCAGCCACGGUCACACUGAUAUUCUGGCUCUAACAGAGGGUUCCUAGAGUAAUGACACUGGAUGACUGUGUGACCCAGGGAGACAACCAGCUGGACUUAGAGGGAAGAGGUGCCAGCCCCAGAGGGUCUGUGUCUCCUUGGCGUGGCCGUGGCCAGGCAGGACACACUUCUAAUCCACACCUGGCUGAUGGGGCACCAAGUGCAAUCAGUGUGAAUGUUUCUGUCUGCUGUCCAUUCACCCCCACAGUUUUAAAAAAUUAUUAUAUCCUCAGUAAGGAGAGCAGGGCCUGGCACAGAGGAGCACCACGGAUACCUGCUGAGUGAAGGAAGGAGGGAGCAACGAUGCCCCUGAGUGUCCCCAAAGGUGCCCCCACGUGCUCACUCCGUGUUCCUCUGCAGGUGCCCAUGCCUGAGACUGCUUCUCCACAGGCCAUGGCCCCGGGGGUGCCUUUCUCUCACCGCCCGCAGGGCCUGAGUGGUGCCUGGGUCCCUGGAGCUCAGACCGUCCUGAGGCAGACAGCCUGAGACUAACCUCUCCAUCGCUGUCAGCCUGUCCUGGAAAUUGUUAUUUGGCUUUACGGGGCAGAGAUGAGGAAGACAGGGAAAGUUCAGCCUCCAGAGCGUCUGAUUCUGGGCAAAAGGGUUCAAAGAAAAGGUCUUCCACCAGAAGGGUAAGGCUGGCUUGGCGACUGUGUUGGCUGCAGUAAAUGAGAGUGCACGCAGGCCCCGGCGUUGAGGAAGCCAGUGGCGCCUGGGCAAGGGCAGUGCACUUGGGGCCCCCAGUUACUGGCCCGCCCCUCGGCGCCUUGGCUUUCUGGAUGUGGGAGGCAUGGGGGCAAACAGGCCCUCUGCUGCACAUGUCUGCACCUCCCUCUGAUGCUGCCAAGCCAUGCAGGCUCCCCAACGGGCUGCUUAGGGGCCACAACAUGAUCCUGGAGCCAGAGGGUGGGCGGGAAAGGGCUUAUCAGCCCAACACACUCCAGCCGUUGGCGUGUCAUAUGGGAUCCCAAAGCCAUGGUGAGUCGAGGAGUGUUCUACCCCUGAGCCUCCCUCAGGGGAGAGAGAGGGAGAGAGAAUAAAGAGGAAUGGGAGAGAUGAAAAGGCCUUUUUUCUUCCAAAAAUUGGAACCACACUUCAGAUGAAAAUACUGCAUCUUGAAGGUUGUGAUAAGAUAGAAGAGAAAAUUGCUCUAAAAGCGUUUAAGACAGUGUCCCCUGCUUAUCUCCCUGUGCCGCUGACAAUAGCAGACAGUGUUAUCUGCUGAUUAAGAAAACCGAGAAUAU